UAGGGAAUCUUCCGCAAUGGACGAAAGUCUGACGGAGCAACGCCGCGUGAGUGAUGAAGGCUUUCGGGUCGUAAAACUCUGUUGUUAGGGAAGAACAAGUGCUAGUUGAAUAAGCUGGCACCUUGACGGUACCUAACCAGAAAGCCACGGCUAACUACGUGCCAGCAGCCGCGGUAAUACGUAGGUGGCAAGCGUUAUCCGGAAUUAUUGGGCGUAAAGCGCGCGCAGGUGGUUUCUUAAGUCUGAUGUGAAAGCCCACGGCUCAACCGUGGAGGGUCAUUGGAAACUGGGAGACUUGAGUGCAGAAGAGGAAAGUGGAAUUCCAUGUGUAGCGGUGAAAUGCGUAGAGAUAUGGAGGAACACCAGUGGCGAAGGCGACUUUCUGGUCUGUAACUGACACUGAGGCGCGAAAGCGUGGGGAGCAAACAGG
rnacentral:rRNA from 5 species